CCCUUAGAUGUUCUGGGCCGCACGCGCGCUACACUGAUCAGUGCAACAAGCAUCCGUCCUUGGCCGACAGGCCCGGGCAAUCUUUGAACGCUGAUCGUGAUGGGGAUAGACUUUUGCAAUUUUUGGUCUUCAACGAGGAAUUCCCAGUAAACGCAAGUCAUCAACUUGCAUUGAUUACGUCCCUGCCCUUUGUACACACCGCCCGUCGCACCUACCGAUUGAAUGGUCCGGUGAAGCCUCGAGAUUGUGGUUAGUUUCCUUUAUUGGAUGUUAGCCGCGAGAACUUGUCUAAACCUUAUCAUUUAGAGGAAGGUGAAGUCGUAACA
rnacentral:rRNA from 1 species